ensembl:lncRNA
CUCUCUCUCUCUCUCUCUCUCUCUCUCUCUCUCUCUCUGUGUGUGUGUGUGUGUGUGUGUGUGUGUGUGUGUGUGUGUGUGUGUGUGUGUGUAAAUCUUCAAUACUUGCCUGCCACUGAGGGCUGCUUGCCCAGCUGCUGUAGGGCAUGUGGGAGGCAGAUCAGUAGCUCAAACAUUUUCUCCAUAACCACUCAGAGUGCCUUCUGUCUCUAAGCUCCUUCUCAUCCUCCUGGCUGUGCCGACUGUCUUUCACUGCAGAGCUAUGUUUGCAGCGGUGGAGCUGGGGAGCUGAAAGAAUGCUGCAAGCAGCUGAGAGACAGCAAUACGGCACCCAGAGUAGUGCCUAGAGGGCAACUGAUUCACAGCUGUUGCAAUAAGAAGAUAAUGAAAAUUUAUCAACAACAUCUCUACCAAAUUAUGGGAAUUUAUAGCAGAUAUUUGCAAUCUGGGUUAUUGUUGGUGAUUCUGCUCCCCUGGGAAGCAUACAUUGCAAAUACAGCUGCAUGAGCUGAUACUUCUGAACACCUGGCAGUCCCUGAAGUAUUUGCUGAGUAAUAUGCUGAUGAAUACCUGCUGUAUGGUGAUAGCAAACAGGUCCUUCCUGCAGUGCUAAAAGCUCCUUGAAUAGCACAAAGAAGGUCAAGGUGAAGGACUCUGGUUCCUGUUCUAAAUCAUGAUAAAGGCACUUCCACUUUUUUCCGCAGCUCUAUACUUCAUAACCUGUCAUGCAUUGCAGGGAAAUAAGAGGGGAAUGUAUAUAUAUUAUAUUUAGCUGCUGCUGAUCUUGUAACUUCAUAUGUAGUUAGUCAUCCAUUCUCACAGAUUAUGAAAAUAGUAAAAUGAAAUUCACAGCUACACUAUCACAGCUUGAAACUUUGUAAAUGAACAUUCAUAGCAGGGCCCUCAACAUCCUUUUUAUAGACAUGACUGCAGCUACAAUUUUAUAUACUUUUAAACAGCUAUUCCUUUCAAAGCCCCAACCUCUGUGUUUUCUGUGCAAUAUUCUCUAAGGCAUGAUCCUUCUAAUUCUAAACUUCCCCAAACUAAAAGAAGAGAAAGGCAGGCUAUGUACUCACAUAAGCAGAGAAGUAACUAAUUGAAGUUAUUAAAUUAUAAUAUCUGAGUUAUAGGACUUAAAAAAAUAUUUUUUACAUGUAAAAGUCUUAUUUUUGGCAUUGCCAACAGCAAAAUGGCAUUUAGUUCAAGGGAGCAGCUUUUGUAGCUAAAAGCUUUUAUCUCUGAAAAAAGCAGAUACAAAAAGAGAAUUUCCUGCACUGAAGAAACUUCAAGGCAGGGGGAAGCAGUUCUCUUCCCCUAAACCUUUAAUAAGUUUUGCUGACAGGAAGAUGACAAGUGUCCCAUACCACUGGACAGUAGACAGGCAUACAGUGACACAGGCUAUAAUAGACAGCUCAAUCUCCUUAGAGAUACAAAGACGGCUGAAGUGAAUGGCACCUCAUGUCAAUCUUAUG